rnacentral:rRNA from 1 species
AUUGACCGCUUUCUUCCUUCCUAACACAUGCAAGUCGAGCGGAUGAAGGGAGCUUGCUCCUGGAUUCAGCGGCGGACGGGUGAGUAAUGCCUAGGAAUCUGCCUGGUAGUGGGGGAUAACGUCCGGAAACGGGCGCUAAUACCGCAUACGUCCUGAGGGAGAAAGUGGGGGAUCUUCGGACCUCACGCUAUCAGAUGAGCCUAGGUCGGAUUAGCUAGUUGGUGGGGUAAAGGCCUACCAAGGCGACGAUCCGUAACUGGUCUGAGAGGAUGAUCAGUCACACUGGAACUGAGACACGGUCCAGACUCCUACGGGAGGCAGCAGUGGGGAAUAUUGGACAAUGGGCGAAAGCCUGAUCCAGCCAUGCCGCGUGUGUGAAGAAGGUCUUCGGAUUGUAAAGCACUUUAAGUUGGGAGGAAGGGCAGUAAGUUAAUACCUUGCUGUUUUGACGUUACCAACAGAAUAAGCACCGGCUAACUUCGUG